GGGGCUGAUUCUGGAUUCGACGGGAUUUGCGAAACCCAAGGUGCAUGCCGAGGGGCGGUUGGCCUCGUAAAAAGCCGCAAAAAAUAGUCGCAAACGACGAAAACUACGCUUUAGCAGCUUAAUAACCUGCUUAGAGCCCUCUCUCCCUAGCCUCCGCUCUUAGGACGGGGAUCAAGAGAGGUCAAACCCAAAAGAGAUCGCGUGGAAGCCCUGCCUGGGGUUGAAGCGUUAAAACUUAAUCAGGCUAGAUUGUUAGUGGCGUGUCCGUCCGCAGCUGGCAAGCGAAUGUAAAGACUGACUAAGCAUGUAGUACCGAGGAUGUAGGAAUUUCGGACGCGGGUUCAACUCCCGCCAGCUCCACCA
rnacentral:tmRNA from 1 species